AGCGACUGUGCAGGUUACCGCGGCUGCUGGCACGGAGUUAGCCGGUGCUUCUUCUGUGAGUGAUGUCCUUACCUGCCGGCUAUUAACCCGCAGGCCUUCUUCCUCACUGAAAGUGCUUUACAACCCGAAGGCCUUCUUCUACACACGCGGCAUGGCUCGGAUCAGGGUUGCCCCCACUUGGUCCAAUAUUCCCCACUGCUGCCUCCCGUAGGAGUCUGGGCCGUGUCUCAGUCCCAGUGUGGCUGA
rnacentral:rRNA from 1 species